rnacentral:rRNA from 1 species
GACGAACGCUGGCGGCGUGCUUAACACAUGCAAGUCGAACGGAAAGGCCCUGCUUUUGUGGGGUGCUCGAGUGGCGAACGGGUGAGUAACACGUGAGUAACCUGCCCUUGACUUUGGGAUAACUUCAGGAAACUUGGGCUAAUACCGGAUAGGAGCUCCUGCUGCAUGGUGGGGGUUGGAAAGUUUCGGCGGUUGGGGAUGGACUCGCGGCUUAUCAGCUUGUUGGUGGGGUAGUGGCUUACCAAGGCUUUGACGGGUAGCCGGCCUGAGAGGGUGACCGGCCACAUUGGGACUGAGAUACGGCGCAGACUGCUACGGGAGGCAGCAGUGGGGAAUAUUGCACAAUGGGCGGAAGCCUGAUGCAGCAACGCCGCGUGCGGGAUGACGGCCUUCGGGUUGUAAACCGAUUUCGCCUGUGACGAAGCGUGAGUGACGGUAAUGGGUAAAGAAGCACCGGCUAACUACGUG